rnacentral:rRNA from 1 species
UACGUAGGGUGCAAGCGUUGUCCGGAAUUAUUGGGCGUAAAGAGCUCGUAGGCGGUUUGUUGCGUCGGCUGUGAAAUCCCGAGGCUCAACCUCGGGUCUGCAGUCGAUACGAGCAAAACUAGAGUGUUGCAGGGGAGACUGGAAUUCCUGGUGUAGCGGUGAAAUGCGCAGAUAUCAGGAGGAACACCGAUGGCGAAGGCAGGUCUCUGGGCCGCAACUGACGCUGAGGAGCGAAAGCAUGGGGAGCGAAACAGG